CCGAUGGCGACCGGCGCACGGGUGAGUAACACGUAUCCAACCUGCCGAUAACUCGGGGAUAGCCUUUCGAAAGAAAGAUUAAUAUCCGAUAGGAUAUCAAGAUCGCAUGAUCUUGAUAUUAAAGAAUUUCGGUUAUCGAUGGGGAUGCGUUCCAUUAGUUAGUUGGCGGGGUAACGGCCCACCAAGACGACGAUGGAUAGGGGUUCUGAGAGGAAGGUCCCCCACAUUGGAACUGAGACACGGUCCAAACUCCUACGGAAGGCAGCAG
rnacentral:rRNA from 1 species